UACGUAGGGGCCUAGCGUUGUCCGGAAUUAUUGGGCGUAAAGGGCUCGUAGGCGGUUUGUCGCGUCGGGAGUGAAAACACUGGGCUUAACCCAGUGCUUGCUUUCGAUACGGGCAGACUAGAGGUAUGCAGGGGAGAACGGAAUUCCUGGUGUAGCGGUGAAAUGCGCAGAUAUCAGGAGGAACACCGGUGGCGAAGGCGGUUCUCUGGGCAUGAUCUGACGCUGAGGAGCGAAAGUGUGGGGAGCGAACAGG
rnacentral:rRNA from 1 species